rnacentral:rRNA from 1 species
AGUGAACGCUGGCGGUAUGCCUAACACAUGCAAGUCGAACGGCAGCACAGUAAUAGCUUGCGCUUACGGGGGGGGAGUGGCGUACGUGUGAGGAAUACAUCGGAAUCUACAUUUUCGUGUGACAUCACGAAGGUGAACUUACUCCAAUACCGGAUACCACCUUCGAGGGAGAGCGGGGGAUCGUCUGACCGUGCGGGAUUGAAUUCGCCGAUUUCGGAUUAGUUAGUUGGCGGGUUAAACGCCUACCAAGGCGACGAUCGGUAGACGGUCUGAGAGGAUGGUAGCCCGCAUUGGAACUGGGCCGCCGUCCAGACUCCUACGGGAGGCAGCAGUGGCGAAUAGUAGACAGUGGGCGGAAGCCUGAUACAGCCGUACCGCGUGGGUGAAGGAGGCCUUCGGGUUGUAAAGCCCUUUUGUUGGGAAAGAAAAGCAGCAGGUUAAUACCACGCUGUUCUGACGGUACCCAAAGAAUAAGCACCGGCUAACUUCGUG